UUGGCAUAUGUUAUAUGGGUCCUUUACAAUUUUUAAAAAAGUUUUUUUUUUCACUCAUGAUACUAUUUUCACCUCUUUCAGUUUUUUUUUCAAUGCUUUAUUCAUAAAAUAUUAUUUUAAACCUCCUAUUAAACAAAGGCAAAAGCUUUAACUAAAGAGUAGCUAGCCUUCUAAUUUAUUUACUUUCGUAUUUUUUUUUCUCAAUGAGCUAACUUAGCA
rnacentral:lncRNA from 1 species